CAGCUCCAGCUCAGACCUCAGGCCAACAAGCACUGAUCUAUGCAGGAGUGACCAACUGUUUACAGAGACCAGGAAGCUGCUGAUGGAGUGUUUGACAGAGAAGCAGCUGCAAGGAGGUACUGUGGAAGAGCAGCUGCGCUGACGAAGUGUUUGAUGGAGAAUCAGCUGCAAGGAGGUAUUGUGGAAGACAUUUAUCCAUGAAAAUAUAGGGCAGCUGGGCUGACGUAGUGUUUGACGGAGAAGCAGCUGCAAGGAGGCACUGUGGAAGCAAAGCUGCGUUGAAGUGUUGGUCGGAGAAGCAGCUGCAAGGAGGUACUGUGGAAGAGCAGCUGCGCUGACAAAGUGUUUGAUGGAGAAUCAGCUGCAAGGACGUAUUGUGGAAGCGAAGCUGCGCUGACGGAGUGUUGGCCGGAGAAGCAGCUGCAAGGAGGUACUGUGGAAGAGAAGCUGCGCUGACUGAGUGUUUGACAGAGAAGCAGCUGUAAAGAGAUACUGUGGAAG